UACGUAGGGUGCAAGCGUUAAUCGGAAUUACUGGGCGUAAAGCGUGCGCAGGCGGUUAUGUAAGACAGAUGUGAAAUCCCCGGGCCUCAACCUGGGAAGCUGCAUUUGUGACUGCAUAGCUAGAGUACGGUAGAGGGGGAUGGAAUUCCGCGUGUAGCAGUGAAAUGCGUAGAUAUGCGGAGGAACACCGGUGGCGAAGGCGGCAUCCUGGACCGGUAUUGACGCGUGAGGCGCGGAAAGCCAGGGGAGCAAACGGG
rnacentral:rRNA from 1 species